UGGGAAUAUUGCACAAUGGGGGAAACCCUGAUGCAGCAACGCCGCGUGAGUGAUGACGGUCUUCGGAUUGUAAAGCUCUGUCUUCAGGGACGAUAAUGACGGUACCUGAGGAGGAAGCCACGGCUAACUACGUGCCAGCAGCCGCGGUAAUACGUAGGUGGCAAGCGUUGUCCGGAUUUACUGGGCGUAAAGGGAGCGUAGGUGGAUAUUUAAGUGGGAUGUGAAAUACUCGGGCUUAACCUGGGUGCUGCAUUCCAAACUGGAUAUCUAGAGUGCAGGAGAGGAAAGUAGAAUUCCUAGUGUAGCGGUGAAAUGCGUAGAGAUUAGGAAGAAUACCAGUGGCGAAGGCGACUUUCUGGACUGUAACUGACACUGAGGCUCGAAAGCGUGGGGAGCAAACAG
rnacentral:rRNA from 1 species